AGCUCAGUGCUAUUGGAGCUGCACUCAUUCUUCUGUGUCAGCCUCAGAGAGCAGCCUCAGGAUCUUAUUUAGUGCUGGAGUGGUCACAUGACUACAAAAUGGUGGAGGCUGUCAGUGGGUGAGCUGAGCAUCUCUGUAGCUGCGCAGAGGAACGAAGAGAAACACAGAAACCUUUCUCUCUCUCUCUCUCUCUCUCUCUCUCUCUCUCUCUCUCUCUGUCUCUCUCUCUCGCUCUCACACACACAUAUCCAGAUGAUCUCUGAAACCUGGAGCAGCAGUUUGGAAUUGAAAGAUUGAACGCAAAGGAGAAGUGUGUAUCAGCAGUGAUCCCCGUCCUCUCUGUCCCUCGGUAAUGAGUGGAUGGAGCAGCCUCCUGAACACAAGAUGAGCUCUGAUGGGACAGAAGGCAGACCAGCUCCUCCCACUACUCUGCCACUGAAGGGCGAUGAAGGCGGUUCUCAGAGGAAAAAACUCUCAGCCCCUCGGAUCAGCCUCUCGUUAGAUCAAAGCGAAGACGACCUGUUUGACACGCCUGAUGACUUGGACAUUAACGUGGACGAUUUGGACACACCUGACGAGGCUGACAUCCUGGACUACACUGAUCAUGAGUUGGACUGGGAAGAGCCUCAGGAAUCCCAGAGAGCCCCAGUGAGGGAAGAGUCUGAACCCAUCCCUACCUACACCUCAGAGGAGGAUCGACAGGACUCCAAACUUUGGAGGACUGUUAUCAUCGGGGAACAGGAGCACCGCAUCAACAUGAAGUGUAUUGAACCCUACCAAAAAGUCAUCUCCCAUGGAGGCUACUACGGAAACGGCACGAAUGCCAUCAUUGUAUUUGCUGCUUGCUUCCUUCCGGACAGCGAUAGCGAGGACUAUCAUGAAAUAAUGGAGAACCUCUUUCUGUAUGUGAUCAGCACGUUGGAGCUGAUGGUAGCGGAGGACUACAUGAUCGUAUACCUGAACGGGGCCACGCCUCACAGGAGGACGCCUGGCCUCGGUUGGCUGAAGAGGUGCUACCAGAUGAUCGACAGGAGGCUUCGAAAGAACCUAAAAUCUUUUAUUAUUGUUCAUCCUUCCUGGUUUAUCAGGACUAUCCUGGCCAUCACCAGACCCUUUAUCAGUUCAAAGUUCAGCAGUAAGAUUAAGUAUGUGAACAGUUUAGCAGAGCUGGAAGAGCUCAUCCCGAUGGAAUAUGUCCAUAUUCCUGAAUGCAUCAUCAAAACAUGUCGAGAUGGGAGGGUGGGCUGUGGGGAAGAGGAGCGAAAGUCUGCACAGAGGAUACAAAAAAAGAGGUUGGAGGUUGAAGGGUGGGCAAACGAAUGAUCUCAAGAUACAAAUUUGCAGCGUCCUUGCACGUGACGAUGAAACUCGACGAGGAGUUACAGGAAGCAGGAGAGAACUCGAAAAUCAACAGCUUCCUCCAGGGACCUGAUGUGCCACAGCCAACAGCUCAACAAAGUGCAAGCAGCUCCUAAUCUAAGGACGCAAUGAAGAAGGAAUGCAUGGCCUGUGUGUGUGUGCGUGUGUGUGUGUGUGUGUGUGUGUGUGUGUGUGUGUGUGUGUGCGUGUGUGUGUGUGAUAAUAAUUGAGAUAAUGUGAAUAUUUCAAAGCUGGACUCUACCCCUUCAAUAUCAACUGUCCUAACACACAUCCUCAGAAAGUGCUGCUGAUCUCAUGAACUGGUUUCCAGCACUGACCAGUCGCAGAAUCAUCCGAUCAUCUCUCAGACGUAACGUCUUAAUGUCUUCUCGUGAUACGCCUUCCGUUUUCUUUUCUUUUCUUUUCCGAAUGCAUGAGCAGCAAUAAUAUCCUUUUUAUCAUAACAUCAUCCUCAUGCUCAUACACACACAUACACAACAUGAUCAUGUAGUAGAAUAAGAACCCUAACCCUAACACCUCAGAGUAUCUUCACACGCACGUUUGUGCUCGGGAAUCCAGAACGUUGGAAAUGUUUUUUAGCUUAAUCGCUUAAAUAGUCUUUUACCUCUUUGUAGAAUUUGAUGUUAUGAACUGCAAAAAAAAAAAAAAGAUCCCUAGGAAUAACAUGAGGUUAUACAUCAGCACUUGUUAAGCCUCAACAGCAGACUUUUAUCCGGUCUAGACAGACAAACAAACAGACAGACAGACAUACAGACAGCUAGAUAGAUAAAAGAUCAGACCCCAGACAAGGCAAUAAUAUUUGUCCAAUGGUUAGAAGAGAUUGGACUCUGUGAAGGCUGAUGUUUGGUAGGAUUCAGAACGAGUAGCUUGUGCUUUAGUUAAAUAUUCAGAACGUAUCGUGUUUAAACACACACAAAUCAAGACUAAAUUCAAGAAGAAAUGUUUUAAUAUUUGCUGUUGUUAAACUACUCAUCGGAUGAUAAACGAUUCAUCUGGAUAUGAAAUCUGUGUAUCAUGUUACUGAUCUGUUCACCUGGUCUUCUAGCCUGUAGUGUUAAAAAAAAAAACAGCUCAAAGUGAGUUCUGAGUUCUGACCUCAGUGUAUGUGUGUGUUUUCAUUCAGUGUUAGAUAUAAGAAAUAUAUAUCUAUAUAUAUGUAUAAACAUUCAACACUGAAUAAAUCCUCCCAGCAUGCAGAUACAGAUUCCUAAAGCGUCUCUCCAUGUAGCUCCUGUGUCUACAUUCUGUACCAACACGUAGUUGUUGUCUGUGAGCGUGAACGUGUGCGAGUUGUUUGUAGGUGUGAUUGUGUUUCGGUUGUGCGUUUGUGUGCUGUUAGGUCUCUCAGGUUGCUGUAAACAGGAAAUGACCUCAUAGACGGACAAAAGGACAGUGCAGCUGCAAAGCACAAUAUCCAUAUCUCUGUGGUGUGUGUGUGUAUGUGUGUGUGUGUGUGUGUGUGUGUGUGUGUGCAGAUGAAGGCAUGUCACUGCAUGUCUCAUAGCUGUUAAUAUAGAAAAAAUGUGGUCAUUUGGAAUAAAGUUAAUAUAUAUAUAUAUAGACCCGGAGGCCUUGUAAAAUAAUGCAGAGCACAUCAAUAAAUUUACCUCUAAUCUAA